UGAUUUUGAUUUCAAGAAGUGUCAUGGUAUC
rnacentral:piRNA from 1 species